rnacentral:rRNA from 1 species
UACGGAGGAUGCAAGCGUUAUCCGGAAUCAUUGGGCGUAAAGGGUCCUGAGGUGGUUUGCCCAGUCUACUGUGAAAGAUCAGGGCUCAACCCUGAAAAUGCGGUGGAAACUAGCAGGCUAGAAUACGGUAGGGGCAGGGGGAAUUCCCGGUGUAGCGGUGAAAUGCAUAGAUAUCGGGAAGAACACCAAUGGCGAAAGCACCCUGCUGGGCCGAUAUUGACACUGACAGACGAAAGCUAGGGGAGCAAAUGGG